rnacentral:tRNA from 1 species
GCAGAUGUGCUGGAACUGGCAGACAGGCAUGACUAAGGAUCAUGUGUCUAACAAGACGUGUGGGUUCGAUUCCCUUCAUCUGCACCA